rnacentral:rRNA from 1 species
ACGUGAAAUUGUUGAAAGGGAAGGGCUUGAGAUCAGACUUGGUAUUUUGUGUGCCUUUCCUUUUUGGUUGGGUUUCUGCAGCUUACUGGGCCAGCAUCGGUUUGGGUGGUAGGAUAAUGACAUUGGAAUGUAGCUUCGCUUCGGUGAAGUGUUAUAGACUUUGUUGAUACUAUCUAUCUAGACCGAGGACUGCGUCUUUGACUAGGAUGCUGGCGUAAUGAUCUUAAGCCGCCC